UUAAAUUGAAGAGUUUGAUCAUGGCUCAGAUUGAACGCUGGCGGCAGGCCUAACACAUGCAAGUCGAACGGUAACAGAAAGCAGCUUGCUGCUUUGCUGACGAGUGGCGGACGGGUGAGUAAUGUCUGGGAAACUGCCUGAUGGAGGGGGAUAACUACUGGAAACGGUAGCUAAUACCGCAUAACGUCGCAAGACCAAAGAGGGGGACCUUCGGGCCUCUUGCCAUCGGAUGUGCCCAGAUGGGAUUAGCUUGUUGGUGGGGUAACGGCUCACCAAGGCGACGAUCCCUAGCUGGUCUGAGAGGAUGACCAGCCACACUGGAACUGAGACACGGUCCAGACUCCUACGGGAGGCAGCAGUGGGGAAUAUUGCACAAUGGGCGCAAGCCUGAUGCAGCCAUGCCGCGUGUAUGAAGAAGGCCUUCGGGUUGUAAAGUACUUUCAGCGGGGAGGAAGGGAGUAAAGUUAAUACCUUUGCUCAUUGACGUUACCCGCAGAAGAAGCACCGGCUAACUCCGUGCCAGCAGCCGCGGUAAUACGGAGGGUG
rnacentral:rRNA from 1 species